GAUGAAGAACGUAGCGAAAUGCGAUAAGUAGUGUGAAUUGCAGAAUUCAGUGAAUCAUCGAAUCUUUGAACGCAUAUUGCGCCCUUUGGUAUUCCUUAGGGCAUGCCUGUUCGAGCGUCAUUUAAACCUUCAAGCUAAGCUUGGUGUUGGGUGACUGUCCGCUUCACGGCGGACUCGCCUCAAAAUUAUUGGCGGCCGGUACAUUGGCUUCGAGCGCAGCAGAAACGCGAACUCGGGCCCGUCGUAUUGGCUCCCAGAAGCUAUCUUCACAAUUUUGACCUCGGAUCAGGUAGGGAUACCCGCUGAACUUAAGCAUAUCAAUAAGCGGAGGA
rnacentral:misc_RNA from 1 species